rnacentral:rRNA from 1 species
AUGGAUGCCCAGGGCGCUGUCGACUCGCUCCUUGGCCGCCUCACCGCCAUCCUCAUCAACGAGGCACAACUGCUCGGCGGCCUCCACAGCGACGUGGAGUUUAUCAAGGAUGAGAUGGAAAGCAUGAACGGCCUGCUCCUCCACCUCAUCGAAGCACACCACCGUGACCACCAGGUGCGUGCUUGGAUGAAGCAAGUGGUCGACCUCACCCGCGACUGCGAGGGCAACGUCGAGCUCUACAUCCACAGCGUCACAGAUGGUGGCCACCAUGCCAGUGGCUUCCUGGGCUACUUGCGGCACAUAGUACACUAUGUGCUCACCAUCCCGGAGCGGCAUCGGAUCGCAACGAGGAUCCGGGAGCUCAAGAUUAGGGCACGUGACGUAAGCGACAGGAGGCUGAGGUAUGGUGUCACCAUUCCACCGGCUGCUGACCAAGCUGACCCGAUAUUCUUGGGCGACAUACCCCGUGGAUUGGCAGACAGGGAGGAAGAUGCUCGGAGAUGCUCUCUUCUUAUCAACUAUCCGGAUGAAGUGGCUUAUGUCGAGAAAAUCGUUGAUGAUAUCAUCAAGUCUUUGCUAGCUGAGGAAGAACUUGUCCAAGAUCCGGCAAAUAGGGAAUCCCACCCGAGGAUAUUUCUCAUAAUCCUGCCAUGGUAUGAUUUCCGAGAUAUUGAUAUAAUUACAGAGAAACUGUAUAAGCGGAAAAUGAGCUCAUUUAGUUGCAAAGCCUUGGUUCACAAGUGCUUAUCUGAAGUCCAAGUAUUGCGGGAAAUAUUGUACCAAGUGGCGCCCCUUCUAGCUGAACAAGACAUGCUCAGGGUGGAAGUGGAGAAGAGUACGGAAACAUCACCGAGUGUUGAUGUGGAGGAUGAGACCAUGCAGCUCACCAAGAAACUCGAGGGGUAUCUCAAAGGUAAACGGUUCUUGAUUAUUCUUCAAGGUAUCAAUGACAACUAUCACUGGGAUAGGAUAAGCUCUGGUGUGUUACAUGCUACUGCUCAUGGUUCUCCUGGUAGUGCUGUAGUAAUUGCCAGAGAUUCUGAUGAUUUGGUCAUCGAGUCCCCUUAUAAAAUGAUCAAACCUCGAGGUCUGUUUGGUGCUUUCUGCAAUGAUACUAGGGAGCUUUGUUCUGGCACUUCUGCAUAUGGGAUAAAAGGCAUUUUAGAUUUAUGUGACCGCGAUGUCUUUGCAAUGAAGAUAUUCCAACAUCUUAUGUAUGUUAACCCUGCAAGGGGUGCAACACAAAUAGACAACUUUCUAGCAACUUUGAAGUUUUGUAAGCUCUCGGAUAAAAGUGUGGCAAUGCAAAUGGUGAAGUUCUCCUACAACGACUUGCCUGCCAAGUACAGGAGCUGCUUGCUCUACCUAAUUAUCUUCCCUGAAGGUGGCCUCAUUAGAAGAACAACCGUCUGUGGAAGAUGGAUAGCCGAAGGCCUGAUAACAUCAAGGGAGAAUGGUGCAGAAGAUGAAGCCGAUUCAUGUUUCAAUGCUCUCCUCUCCAGGAGCCUCAUUCAACCUGGGGUGAUCGGUGACAUGGGCAAGACCAAGACCUGCACAUUGCAUCAUGUUGUUCGUCAAGUCAUCACCAGGAUCGCUAGAGAUAUAAACUUUGCGGACACGGAACUACCGCCCGAUUUGGCUCGCCACCUUUCCAUUCACAGCAGAAUUGAGGUGCAAGCAACUGAUGGCGUUGGCAUUGUUGCAAUUCUUCCAUAUUUGGCAAAGUCAUCUCAGUGGCAGCUAUUGAAGAUGCUGGAUCUAGAAGGUUGCAGAGGCUUAAAGAAGCAACAUUUGAAGACUAUCUUUAAAAUAGUAUUAUUGAAGUACUUAAGCCUUAGAAACACAGAUAUCACUGAACUACCCAAGCAAAUUGAGAAGCUGCAAUGUCUGGAGACCUUGGACAUCCGACAAACAACGCUACGGGCCUUCGCCACAAAUUCGAUCAUGCUCCCAAUGCUAAAGCAUUUGCAUGCUGGCCAGGCACAGUCUCCAAGCAACAACUCUGAUAAGUCUCGGGAUUUGCUUACGGCAGUGCGCAUUCCCAGCAGCAUCAGAAGAAUGGAACAAUUGGAGACACUAUCCCAUGUUGAAGCUUCACAUAGUGUUAAUGAUUUAAGUGAUGUUGGUUAUCUAUUGCAGCUGAGGAAACUGGGUGUUAUUCUCCAUGGUAAGAAAGGUGGCUUGGGUCUUCUAUUCCAACAGAUUGAAAAAUUACAAUGUUGCCUCCGCUCCUUGUCAAUUCAGAUCAACCAACCGGUUUCCAAAACUGAGGAUGCUCCAUGUGCAGAGGAGGUGGUCACAUUAGCCUCACCUCCAAAACUUCUUCAGAGCCUGAACAUCAGCGGCAUCACAAGUGGGCUUCUCACCUGGAUUGCAGAGCUCGAUCAACUUACCAAGAUAACACUAACCGAGACUUACCUGGGGGAAGAUUAUAUACGCAUCCUCGGCAAGCUUGCAGCUCUGUGUUGCCUUAGGCUUCGGCGUAAUUCCUACGUCAGAAGCGGGCUCACAUUCAAGGAAGGGGAGUUCAAGAGCAUCAAGUCUUUGGUCGUCGAUGACGGCAUCAUCACCAACAUUACCUUCGACACUGGAGCAGCUCCCAGGCUCGAGAAGAUUGUGUGGUCCUUCGCCAAAAUGGAUGCUAUUUGUGGACUCUGCCUUCCCAAGUUGAAGAAUGUUGAGCUCAAUGGUGAUUGCGACCCAGAUCCAGUGAGACUAGCACUUGAAAAGCACCCCAAUCUUCCUGAUUUCAAGCAUAAGACACACCACGGGCAACAAGAAGGUGGCGUUGUGGUUGCUGCCUCACCUCCAUGA